GGACAAGCACUUUAGCCGACGAAAAUUUUUCGUCGGCCUGUCAGCUUAAUUCGUCGGCUAAGAUCUUAGCCGACGACCUUUCGUCGGCUAAGAUUUCGUCGGGAAAAGCUCGUCUGUGGUGACUUUAGCCGACGACACACGUAUAAGUCGUCGGCUAUAGUCCAGACUUUAGCCGACGACAUUAUUUGUCGUCGGUUAUCUGCCAAACUUUAGCCGACGAAUAUUUUAAAAUAUUCGUCGGCUAAAGUUUGUAAUAAAAAAAUAAAAAAGAUCUAUGGCCGACGAAAUAUAGUAUAUUAGCCGACGAAUUCGAGCAUAUUUCGUCGGCUAAAAGUUAUUUUAAAAAAAAUAAAAAAACUUUAGCCGACGAAUUAAAGCUUUUUUCGUCGGCUAUAAGUCCUUUCCAGUAAAAAAAAAACCCCGAAAUUUCUGAAUUACCAUUCCAAGCAAGCUGCAAAAUAUACCAAAACAAUUCCAUAUUCCAUAUAACCAACAACAAGCACAUAAAAGUAUAUAAUUCAUCAACUACAUAAAAUCUAAAUCGUCUAAAUUAAUAUCCGCUUCUGGGGGUUGCUGCGGAGGUUGCUGCGGAGGUUGCGGCGGAGGUUGCGGUGGCUGGGGUAGCGGCAUGAGCGGAGACAUGGGCGGAGGCGGAAGUCCCUGAAGCUGGGCAGCUGUAAAGUCCUGCAUGUACUGGAACAUCUGCUGCUGCUGGGCCUGCUGGAUGGCAUGUAUCUCGGCAACAUAGGCUGCCUGCGCAGCAUUAUAGGCUGCCUGCGAGGCAUUAUAGGCUGCCUGCGAGGCAUUAUAGGCAGCCUGAGCAGCUUGCUGUUCUCGUAGUCUCUGAACUUCCGACUCUAGCUGAGUCGUCCUGGUGAUCGUGGACGUGGUCCUGCUGCUGGUCGAGGCUGCCUUUCUUUGAAAUCCUGGAGUGGUCUUCAGGACCCCCNN
rnacentral:lncRNA from 1 species